UGGGGAAUAUUGGACAAUGGGGGCAACCCUGAUCCAGCAAUGCCGCGUGUGUGAAGAAGGUUUUCGGAUUGUAAAGCACUUUCGGCGGGGACGAUGAUGACGGUACCCGCAGAAGAAGCCCCGGCUAACUUCGUGCCAGCAGCCGCGGUAAUACGAAGGGGGCUAGCGUUGCUCGGAAUGACUGGGCGUAAAGGGCGUGUAGGCGGUUUGUACAGUCAGAUGUGAAAUCCCCGGGCUUAACCUGGGAGCUGCAUUUGAUACGUGCAGACUAGGGUGUGAGAGAGGGUUGUGGAAUUCCCAGUGUAGAGGUGAAAUUCGUAGAU
rnacentral:rRNA from 1 species